rnacentral:rRNA from 1 species
UGGCCAGACUCCUACGGGAGGCAGCAGUGGGGAAUAUUGCACAAUGGGGGAAACCCUGAUGCAGCAACGCCGCGUGAGUGAAGAAGCGUUUCGGCGCGUAAAGCUCUGUCAGCGGGGAAGAAAGAAGACGGUACCCGACCAAGAAGCCCCGGCUAACUACGUGCCAGCAGCCGCGGUAAUACGUAGGGGGCGAGCGUUAUCCGGAAUUACUGGGUGUAAAGGGCGUGUAGGCGGGACUGCAAGUCAGAUGUGAAAACCACGGGCUCAACCUGUGGCCUGCAUUUGAAACUGUAGUUCUUGAGUACUGGAGAGGCAGACGGAAUUCCUAGUGUAGCGGUGAAAUGCGUAGAUAUUAGGAGGAACACCAGUGGCGAAGGCGGUCUGCUGGACAGCAACUGACGCUGAGGCGCGAAAGCGUGGGGAGCAAACAGGAUUAGAUACCCGGGUA